AUUCCAAUCGAACUCGGAGAUAGCUGGUUCUCCCCGAAAUAGCUUUAGGGCUAGCGUCGGAUAUGUGUAGUGGAGGUAGAGCACUGAAUGGGCUAGGGGGCAUAUCGCUUACCGAACCUUAUCAAACUCCGAAUGCCAUAUACAUUUAGUCCGGCAGUCAGACUACGAAUGAUAAGAUCCGUGGUCAAAAGGGAAACAGCCCAGAUCGUCAGCUAAGGUCCCAAAGUGUAAGUUAAGUGGAAAAGGAUGUGGGAUUUCUAAGACAACUAGGAUGUUGGCUUAGAAGCAGCCACUCAUUUAAAGAGUGCGUAAUAGCUCACUAGUCGAGAGAUCCUGCGCCGAAAAUGUACCGGGGCUAAACUUACCACCGAAGCUACGGAUUUGCAAGUAAUUGCAAGUGGUAGGGGAGCGUCGUAAUCGGGCUGAAGUCGUACCGGAAGGAGCGGUGGACUGAUUACGAGUGAGAAUGUUGGCAUUAGUAGCGAGAUGUAGGUGAGAAUCCUACAGGCCGAAUAUCUAAGGUUUCCUCAGGAAGGCUCGUCCGCUGAGGGUUAGUCGGGACCUAAGCCGAGGCCGAAAGGCGUAGGCGAUGGACAAUCGGUUGAUAUUCCGAUACCACUACCAUCGUUAUUAUCGAGGGUGUGACGGAGAAGGAUAGUGUGUGCUAGCGAUUGGAAAUGCUAGUCUAAGCGUUUAGGGAGUUACGGUAGGCAAAUCCGCUGUAACAAUUCUGAGGCGUGAUGGGGAAGGCCAUAUAGGCCGAAGUACAUGAUUCCAUGCUUCCAAGAAAAGCAUCUAGAGAGAGAAGUAGUGCCCGUACCGCAAACCGACACAGGUAGAUGAGGAGAGAAUCCUAAGGCCGGCGGAAGAAUUGCAGUUAAGGAACUAGGCAAAUUGACCCCGUAAGUUCGCGAGAAGGGGUGCCUGCGAGAGCAGGCCGCAGAGAAUAGGCCCAAGCAACUGUUUAGCAAAAACACAGGUCUCUGCUAAAGCGUAAGCUGAUGUAUAGGGGCUGACGCCUGCCCGGUGCUGGAAGGUUAAGGGGAACACUUAGCGCAAGCGAAGGUGUGAACUUAAGCCCCAGUAAACGGCGGCCGUAACUAUAACGGUCCUAAGGUAGCGAAAUUCCUUGUCAGGUAAGUUCUGACCCGCACGAAUGGCGUAAUGACUUGGGCACUGUCUCAACUGCAAAUCCGGCGAAGUUGUAGUGCGAGUGAAGAUGCUCGCUACCCGCGAUUGGACGGAAAGACCCCGUAGAGCUUUACUGUAGCUUAGCAUUGAAUUCCGGUAUUGUCUGUACAGGAUAGGUGGGAGACUGGGAAACUAGGGCGUCAGCCUUAGUGGAGUCAACCUUGGGAUACCACCCUGACAGUACUGGGGUUCUAACAGGACGCCAUGAAUCUGGUGACUGGACAUUGUUAGGUGGGCAGUUUGACUGGGGCGGUCGCCUCCUAAAAAGUAACGGAGGCGCCCAAAGGUUCCCUCAGAACGGUCGGAAAUCGUUCGUAGAGUGCAAAGGCAGAAGGGAGCCUGACUGCGAGACCUACAAGUCGAGCAGGGACGAAAGUCGGGCUUAGUGAUCCGGUGGUACCUCGUGGGAGGGCCAUCGCUCAACGGAUAAAAGCUACCUCGGGGAUAACAGGCUGAUCUCCCCCAAGAGUCCACAUCGACGGGGAGGUUUGGCAC
rnacentral:rRNA from 1 species